rnacentral:misc_RNA from 1 species
UCCGGCUUGUCACCGGCGGUUUCUUCAGAGUGCCCGGCCUGACCCGUGGGCAACUGAAGAUGAGGGUUGCGCUCGUUGCGGGACUUAACCCAACAUCUCACGACACGAGCUGACGACAGCCAUGCAGCACCUGUGUUCCACCCACCCGAAGUGAAGGAUCUGAUCUCUCAAACCCAUAGUGGACAUGUCAAGGACUGGUAAGGUUCUUCGCGUUGCGUCGAAUUGAACCACAUACUCCACCGCUUGUGCGGGCCCCCGUCAAUUCAUUUGAGUUUCAACCUUGCGGCCGUACUCCCCAGGCGGCAUGCUUAGUGCGUUAGCUGCGACACAAGAGGGCUAAGCCCUCCAACGUCUAGCAUGCAUCGUUUACAGCGUGGACUAC